GCGGCUGGUCGCUCCCCCAUUCCGUGGCUUCACCUUUGCCGCCUAUGCGUUGGGAGUUUCCACUCCAGCAUUUUUUUAAAUCCUCGUUUACACACAAACGCGUUGUAUGAAGUGUAGUGCGCGUGAACAGAACUAUCGUGCGAGCGGUGGAACGCAGAAUGCAUCUCUCGCUCCUCUUGAAAGUUAACUGACCGGAGCGUUUGCCGUCGUUUUGGAGCAAAGUUGAGUCCGCCUCGGCAAGACGCGCUCAUGAAAAACGCGAAAUGUAUGCAGUUCCUUGCACCGUCUCGGGGAGCUACAUCUGCGCGAGGCUGAGCGUAAGUGACGCUCAGCUGAAAGUGUCUAAUAGUUCAUUCCUCCUCCUCCCGGCUGGCCGCCACGAGCGAGUGCAUCGUCGAAAGGUUUUAGAAUGUCAUGUUCAUUUUUCCUCGUGCCAAAUAUGUCACUUAAAAGA